GAGCAGGCAAAGGUUGUGCAAGCAUUGAUGAAAACAUGUUAAAACAUGAAGACAUUAUGAAACUCCUUAAAAAUAUAUAUUUUAUAUAGCGAGAAGUUGUCACUUUGCUCUAGUUCUACGAAUGCUUGCAGGAGACACAUGGAGAAGGAAUAUUUCUAUUUACCAGCUUGGAGACUAAAAGACCUUUCCACUCAUCUAUUUAUAUAUUGAUCAUAAUAAUAACUGCAAUCAACAAUUAGAGCUGGUGUGAAAUGUCACUGACAUUACACCAUUGAAAAGAAAUCACAAUCAUGGAAGUGUUAUGCUUGCUACACUCAGCUGUGACAUUUAAAUAUUUUGCUUUGACAUCCAGUAACAGUUUUGGCCAACAAUGUCAAAUAAAAAGAUGGGAGUUCCUUUAAA